AGAUUGAACGCUGGCGGCAGGCUUAACACAUGCAAGUCGAGCGGUAGCAGGUCCUUCGGGAUGCUGACGAGCGGCGGACGGGUGAGUAACACAUAGGAAUCUGCCCAGUAGUGGGGAAUAGCCCGGGGAAACCCGGAUUAAUACCGCGUACGCCCUUAGGGGGAAAGCAGGGGAUCUUCGGACCUUGCGCUAUUGGAUGAGCCUAUGUCGGAUUAGCUAGUUGGUGGGGUAAAGCCUACCAAGGCGACGAUCCGUAGCUGGUCUGAGAGGAUGAUCAGCCACAUCGGGACUGAGACACGGCCCGAACUCCUACGGGAGGCAGCAGUGGGGAAUAUUGGACAAUGGGGGCAACCCUGAUCCAGCCAUGCCGCGUGUGUGAAGAAGGCUUUCGGGUUGUAAAGCACUUUCAGUGAGGAGGAAAACCUUGCGAUUAAUACUCGUAGGCUUGACGUUACUCACAGAAGAAGCACCGGACUAACUCGUGCCAGCAGCCGCGGUAAUCGUAGA
rnacentral:rRNA from 1 species